UGGGGAAUUUUGCACAAUGGGGGAAACCCUGAUGCAGCGACGCCGCGUGAUUUAGAAGGCCUUCGGGUUGUAAAAAUCUUUUUUACGGGAAGAAAAUGACAGUACCUUAAGAAUAAGGUCCGGCUAAAUACGUGCCAGCAGCCGCGGUAAUACCUAUGGACCGAGCGUUGUCCGGAAUCAUUGGGCGUAAGGGGUACGUAGGCGGCCUUGUAAGGUAGAAGUGAAAUAAUAUAGCUCAACUAUAUAAAGCUUUUAAAACUGCUAGGCUUGAGAGAUGGAAGGGAAAGUGGAAUUCCUAGUGUAGCGGUGAAAUGCGCAGAUAUUAGGAAGAAUACCGGUGGCGAAGGCGACUUUCUGGUCAUCAUCUGACGCUGAGGUACGAAAGCGUGGGUAGCAAACAGG
rnacentral:rRNA from 1 species